CACCAGCCCCUCGAGUGGUGGGGACUUUUAUUUGGCCUAAAGCGUCCGUAGCUGGCUGUUUCCGUUACCCGUUAAAUCCAGCGUCCUAAGCGUUGGACUGCGGGUAGUACCAAACAGCUAGAGGGUGGGAGAGGUCAGCGGUAUUCUUGGGGUAGGGGCGAAAUCCUUUGAUCCCAGGAGGACCACCAGUGGCGAAGGCUGCUGACUAGAACACGCCUGACGGUCAGGAACGAAAGCUGGGGUAGCGAAC
rnacentral:rRNA from 1 species